rnacentral:rRNA from 1 species
UACGAAGGGGGCUAGCGUUGCUCGGAAUCACUGGGCGUAAAGGGUGCGUAGGCGGGUCUUUAAGUCCGGGGUGAAAUCCUGGAGCUCAACUCCAGAACUGCCUUUGAUACUGAAGAUCUUGAGUUCGGGAGAGGUGAGUGGAACUGCGAGUGUAGAGGUGAAAUUCGUAGAUAUUCGCAAGAACACCAGUGGCGAAGGCGGGUCUCUGGGCCGAUACUGACACUGAGGAGCGAAAGCGUGGGGAGCGAACAGG